GAUGAACGCUGGCGGCGUGCUUAACACAUGCAAGUCGAACGGAAAGGCCCUGCUUUUGUGGGGUGCCCGAGUGGCGAACGGGUGAGUAACACGUGAGUAACCUGCCCUUGACUUUGGGAUAACUUCAGGAAACUGGGGCUAAUACCGGAUAGGAGCUCCUGCUGCAUGGUGGGGGUUGGAAAGUUUCGGCGGUUGGGGAUGGACUCGCGGCUUAUCAGCUUGUUGGUGGGGUAGUGGCUUACCCAGGCUUCGACGGGUAGCCGGCCUGAGAGGGUUACCGGCGACAUUGGGACUACGAUACGGCCCAGACUCCUACGGGAGGCAACAGUGGGAAAUAUUGCACAAUGGGCGGAAGCCUGAUACAACAACGCCGCGUGCGGAAUGACGGCCUUCGGGUUGUAAACCGCUUUCGCCUGUGACGAAGCGUGAGUGACGGUAAUGGGUAAAGAAGCACCGGCUAACUACGUG
rnacentral:rRNA from 1 species